rnacentral:rRNA from 1 species
UACGUAGGUGACCAGCGUUGUCCGGAUUUACUGGGCGUAAAGCGCGCGCAGGCGGUCGUUCAAGUCGAGUGUGAAAGCCCCCGGCUCAACUGGGGAGGGUCAUUCGAUACUGAUCGACUCGAAGGCAGGAGAGGGAAGUGGAAUUCCCGGUGUAGUGGUGGAAUGCGUAGAUAUCGGGAGGAACACCAGUGGCGAAGGCAGCUUUCUGGACAGUAACUGACUCUGAGGCACGAAGGCUAGGGGAGCGAACGGG